rnacentral:rRNA from 1 species
GACAGAGGGGGCAAGCGUUGCUCGGAAUUACUGGGCGUAAAGGGCGCGUAGGCGGAAUGGCAAGUCGGUCGUGAAAUCCUUCGGCUCAACCGAAGAACGUCGAUCGAAACUGCCGUUCUUGAGGAUUGCAGAGGAGACUGGAAUUCCCGGUGUAGCGGUGAAAUGUGUAGAGAUCGGGAGGAACACCGGUGGCGAAGGCGGGUCUCUGGGCAAUUCCUGACGCUGAGGCGCGGAAGCGUGGGGAGCAAACGGG